UAAAAAUAUUAUUUUUAAUUAAAAAUUAAAUUAAAUUAAAAAAUAAAAUUAUUUUUUAGUAAAUCUGGGAAAAAAUUAUGUUAAUAAUAGGUUAUUAGUAUUGAGAAAGAGUUAUUAUUAAAAUUUUAAAAGAAGAAGAAAAUUUUGUACCUUGUGUAUCAGGGUUGAUUAAAUAAAAUUUAGAUAAUAUUUUCUCGAAUUUAAAAGAGCUAAAAUAAUAUAAUUUUAUUGUAGAAUAAAUAUUUAUAAUAUUAUUUUUGAAAUGAAACGUUACACGUUUUUAAUAUAUCUAGUUAUUUAAGAAAAAAAUUAAAUUUUAUUGUUAAUAAUAUAUAAUUAAUUUUAUAAUUAUAUAUUAAUAAUAUUAAAUUUAUAAAGGGAUAAGCUUUUAUAAAAAUUUUUAAAAGUUUUUAUUUUUAUAAAAAAUUAUAGGAUUAGUAGUUUCUAUUAUUAAAAUAAUGUUAUAGUUAAUUUUAUUUAAUUAUUAUUUAUAUAAAUUUUAAAUAGUUUAUUAAAUUAAAAAUUAUAAUUAAAUUAAGUUUUGAAAUAAUGAUAAAAUUAGUAGGAUUUUAUAUAAAAUAUAUAAAAGAUUAAGGUUAAUUAAGGGAAUUCGGCAAUAGAUUUUUUACCUGUUUAUUAAAAACAUGGCUUUUUGAUAAUAAUUAAAGGUCUGACCUGCCCACUGAGGAGUUUAAAGGCCGCGGUAAAUUGCCCGUGCUAAGGUAGCAUAAUCAUUAGUUUUUUAAUUGAAAGCUGGAAUGAAUGGUUGGAUAAGAAAAANAACUGUCUCUAUUUAAUUUAUAAUGAAUUUUAUUUUUAAGUAAAAAAGCUUAAAUUAUUUUAAAAGACGAGAAGACCCUAUAGAGUUUUAUAAAGUUUAAAUUUUAAUUUUUUUAGUAUUAUUAUUUUGUAAUUGAAAUUUUAUUUGAUUGGGGCGAUUGAAAAAUUUAAUUAACUUUUUUUAUAUAUUUACAUAAAUUUAUGAUAAAUUGAUCCAUAAAUAAUGAUUAAAAGAUUAAAUUACCUUAGGGAUAACAGCGUAAUUUUUUUUGAGAGUUCUAAUCGAAAAAAAAGUUUGCGACCUCGAUGUUGGAUUAAAAUUAAUUUUUGGUGUAGAAGCUAAGAAUUUUAGGUCUGUUCGACCUUUAAAAUUUUACAUGAUCUAAGUUUAAACCGGUGUGAGCCAGGUUGGUUUUUAUCUUUAAAUGAAUAAUAUAUUUUAGUACGAAAGGAUCA